GCAGAGGGCCACAGCAGGAAGGAGGCCACAAAGGCCAGGAUGGGGAUGGCCAGGGUGCCGCCAGCGAUGACAAACAUGUUGAGCACAUCGAGGUCCAUGCUGCUCCUCCGGCCUGCCCCUACUCUGUAGAGAUCCCCUCCUCCUCCUCUCGGCACAGGUCCUGCUCGCUGUGGGCGUAGGGGCUCACGGGCCGGGCCGGACUGCAAUGGCAGCGCCGAGAGAAACGCGGCGGCUCCGCUGCGCCCGCCUCCCC
rnacentral:lncRNA from 1 species